rnacentral:rRNA from 1 species
AGUGAACGCUGGCGGUAGGCCUAACACAUGCAAGUCGAACGGCAGCACAAUAAGAGCUUGCUCUUACGGGUGGCGAGUGGCGGACGGGUGAGGAAUACAUCGGAAUCUACUUUUUCGUGGGGGAUAACGUAGGGAAACUUACGCUAAUACCGCAUACGACCUACGGGUGAAAGCAGGGGAUCUUCGGACCUUGCGCGAUUGAAUGAGCCGAUGUCGGAUUAGCUAGUUGGCGAGGUAAAGGCCCACCAAGGCGACGAUCCGUAGCUGGUCUGAGAGGAUGAUCAGCCACACUGGAACUGAGACACGGUCCAGACUCCUACGGGAGGCAGCAGUGGGGAAUAUUGGACAAUGGGCGCAAGCCUGAUCCAGCCAUACCGCGUGGGUGAAGAAGGCCUUCGGGUUGUAAAGCCCUUUUGUUGGGAAAGAAAAGCAGCAGGUUAAUACCCCGCUGUUCUGACGGUACCCAAAGAAUAAGCACCGGCUAACUUCGUG